CCUACGGGGGGCUGCAGUGGGGAAUAUUGCACAAUGGGCGCAAGCCUGAUGCAGCCAUGCCGCGUGUGUGAAGAAGGCCUUCGGGUUGUAAAGCACUUUCAGCGGGGAGGAAGGCGUUAAGGUUAAUAACCUUGUCGAUUGACGUUACCCGCAGAAGAAGCACCGGCUAACUCCGUGCCAGCAGCCGCGGUAAUACGGAGGGUGCAAGCGUUAAUCGGAAUUACUGGGCGUAAAGCGCACGCAGGCGGUCUGUCAAGUCGGAUGUGAAAUCCCCGGGCUCAACCUGGGAACUGCACUCGAAACUGGCAGGCUAGAGUCUUGUAGAGGGGGGUAGAAUUCCAGGUGUAGCGGUGAAAUGCGUAGAGAUCUGGAGGAAUACCGGUGGCGAAGGCGGCCCCCUGGACAAAGACUGACGCUCAGGUGCGAAAGCGUGGGGAGCAAACAGGAUUAGAUACCCGAGUAGUC
rnacentral:rRNA from 1 species